rnacentral:rRNA from 1 species
CGUGAAAUUGUUGAAAGGGAAGCGUUUAUGACCAGACUUGGACUUGGUUAAUCAUCUGGGGUUCUCCCCAGUGCACUUUUCCAGUUCAGGCCAGCAUCAGUUUUCCCCGGGGGAUAAAGGCGGCGGGAAUGUGGCUCUCUUCGGGGAGUGUUAUAGCCCGCCGUGUAAUACCCUGGGGGGGACUGAGGUUCGCGCAUCUGCAAGGAUGCUGGCGUAAUGGUCAUCAACGACCCGUCUUGCAACACGG